CCUACGGGAGGCAGCAGUGGGGAAUAUUGGGCAAUGGGCGCAAGCCUGACCCAGCAACGCCGCGUGAAGGAAGAAGGCCCUCGGGUUGUAAACUUCUUUUAUUCGGGACGAAACAAAUGACGGUACCGAAUGAAUAAGCCACGGCUAACUACGUGCCAGCAGCCGCGGUAAUACGUAGGUGGCAAGCGUUAUCCGGAUUUACUGGGUGUAAAGGGCGUGUAGGCGGGAGAGCAAGUCAGACGUGAAAUUCCAGGGCUCAACCCUGGAACUGCGUUUGAAACUGUUCUUCUUGAGUGAUGGAGAGGCAGGCGGAAUUCCUGGUGUAGCGGUGAAAUGCGUAGAUAUCAGGAGGAACACCGGCGGCGAAGGCGGCCUGCUGGACCGCGACUGACGUUGAGGCUCGAAAGCGUGGGGAGCGAACAGGAUUAGAUACCCGGGUAGUC
rnacentral:rRNA from 1 species